rnacentral:rRNA from 1 species
AUUGAACGCUAGCGGGAUGCCUUACACAUGCAAGUCGAACGGAGUGGCGAACGGGUGAGUAAUGUAUCGGAACGUGCCCAGUAGCGGGGGCUAACUACGCGAAAGCGUAGCUAAUACCGCAUACUAAUGGAGCGGCCGAUAUCGGAUUGGCUGGUUGGUGGGGUAACGGCUCACCAAGGCGCCGAUCCGUAGCUGGUUUGAGAGGACGACCAGCCACACUGUGACUGAGACACGUCCCAAAAUCCUACGGGAGGCAGCAGUGGGGAAUUUUGGACAAUGGGGGAAACCCUGUUACAGCCAUCCCGCGUGUGAGUUGAAGGCCUACGGGUUUUAAAGCACUUUUGGCAGGAAAGCGGUACCUGCAGAAUAAGCGUCGGCUAACUACGUGCCAGCAGCCGCGGUAAUUC